UAGAACUGAUAUUCCGAGCGGUGGAAUGAUGGGGUAACGCCCUGAAACGCCCCCUUUAAAACUGCGGCAGGCGAUAAAACUUGUGACAGUUUUGUGGUCUGAAGCCCGCGGAAGUCGGCAGAGAGCCGCCCAAACAGGUCAAGCUGCGGAAAGCUGUCCAGAGGUGGACGGUGCGGCCUAUAUGCCGGAGGUCUAAAAU
rfam:Human gut metagenome DNA, contig sequence: F2-V_009471.